rnacentral:rRNA from 1 species
UACGUAGGGUGCAAGCGUUGUCCGGAAUUAUUGGGCGUAAAGAGCUCGUAGGCGGUCUGUUGCGUCGGCUGUGAAAACCCGGGGCUCAACUCCGGGCCUGCAGCCGAUACGGGCAGACUAGAGUUCGGCAGGGGAGACUGGAAUUCCCGGUGGAGCGGUGAAAUGCGUUGAUAUCGGGAGGAACGCCGGCGGCGAAAGCGGUGCACUGGUUGACUUCUGACACUCAUGUGCGAAAGCCAGGGGAGCAAACGGG